rnacentral:piRNA from 1 species
UAGCAAACCUCCUUGUCUCUCAUCCAGGAC